ensembl:lncRNA
ACAGGGAAGCCUGGCUUGCUGUAGUCCAUGGGAUCGAAGUCAGACAUGACUGAGCGACUCAACUGAUGGCCUCUAAUGCAUCACUUCCCCUCUUUGGAACUCAGUUUCUUUAUCUGCAAAAUUCGGUAUACAGAAUGAGUUAGACAGUCUCAGGUGGCAGGAGUAGGUGUUUGAGGGAACCUUUUUCCUUGUGAACCUUGAUCAGCCACACAAAGUUCACCUCAGCCUAUUAUAAAGAAAUUAGGAUGGACUGAACACAGCUCAGAAGCAAGAGAGGCUGCACAAGGCAAAACAAAACCAAAAACUAAUAAUACUUGGUACUGGAUUUGCAGUCGGGAUACUGUUCUUAUGCAGACGAUUAGUGUAUUGCCUGUUCAGCUAUCAUUAUCAUAAAGUAGUUAACUGUGCUUUAAAAAGUUAUGUAUGUCUCAUCUGAGGACCUGAAAUUUUUCUUUUGUUUGAACCUUCAAGCCUGGAGUGGAUGCGCAGUGGCUCCACGUGGAGCAGCCUUACUCGAAGAAUACCCCCAGGAUCUCUCCUUGCCGUGGGAAUAAUCCAGAUCACCUUUCCUGGAAGUCAGUUUGCUGAAACUACUGAAGCAGCAGUUCCUGGAAGUUGAAGAAAAGGUAAAUAGAAGCAAAUUCGUGUCUGCUAAAGUCCCCUUAAGAGGGAAACCCAUGUUUGGAGGGCCCCUAUUGUUUCUCAGACAUCUCUGUAUGUAAUAUUUUACCUUCCUCUGCCUGGCCACACCCUAGUUUACCUUCGCCAAUGGCUGCCAUCUUAGAAAUG